CAGUCUCCUGGAUCUCAGUCUGUUGUUCCAGGACAGACUGUCUCCAUCACAUGUAAAACCAGUAGAUAUGCUUAUAGCAACCUCGGCUGGUACCUUCAGAAACCUGGAGAAGCUCCUAAACUCCUGAUUUAUGAUGCUACAGACCUUCAGCCUGGAGUUUCAGAUCGUUUUUCAGGCAGUGGAUCUGGGACUGACUUCACUCUGACCAUCAGUGGAGUUCAGGCUGAAGAUUCUGGGGUUUAUUACUGUCAGAGUGCACAUAUGACUUUGAUCUCCGUCCUCAUCUGGACUCUCCUCUGCUGCUGCUUCACAGAGUCCAGAGGCCAGGUCACAGUGACUCAGCCUGCAGCAGUGAGAUCUGCUCUGGGAGGCUCCACAACCAUCGGCUGUAGGACCAGUCAGAAUGUUUUUGUUUCUAAUCGCUUAGCCUGGUACCAACAGAAAGAUGGAGAAGCUCCUAAACUUCUCAUUUACCGUGCUACCACUCGAGCAUCAGGGAUUCCAGAUCGUUUUUCAGGCAGUGGAUCAAAAACUGACUUCACUCUGACCAUCAGUGGAGUUCAGGCUGAAGAUGCAGCAGUUUACUACUGUCAGAGUUUUCACUCUAUCAACAGUCAGUGGGUGUUCACACAGUGA